rnacentral:lncRNA from 1 species
AACUUCCUGUUGGGUUUUGAGCAUUCUAACACUCCUAAGUGUACAUGCAACCCUAAAUACCUUGGAUCUAUGUUUUCUCUAUUAUACAUGCAAAUAUGAACAUCCAAGGUAUUAUCCUAAUCUAGCAUAUAAAAUAAUGGAUAUAACAAGAUAGAAUACAUACUUCUUAGAUGUCGAAUGUCUUCAUGAAGGUUGAGUGCCUAGUGCCCCAAAUCUGACACCUCAAAUGGUCCACACAACACCAAAUACACUUGGAAUAACUUGAGAGAAUUCUACACUUCAUGAAAAUCGGCUAGCCCUCUCUAGAAUGAUACUAGUGGCCAAUUUUGGUUAAGAAUAAGAUGCAUAUAUAGUUAGGGUUACACCAUGUAAACCCUAAUUGACAUGGCCUUUCAUUUCCAUGAUCCAUGGGUACAAAAACACCAUGGAACAUACAUGGAGCAUCAUAUGGGUUUUAGCCCAACUAGAUAAUCCAUGGAGCAUUAGCCCACUAUAUAAGUAUGGAUGAUUUGCACAAUCAACCUAUAUAUUUAAUUAGUCUUCUUUUGAUCACUUAAUUAAUACUAGAUUAAUUCUUGAUCAAUACUAAUUAAAUAAUCUUAUUAUUCUUAUUAUUAAUAUAUUAGAACAUAUAAUAUAUUAAUAACCAUAAGUGUCUUAUUUCUCUCAUUAUAAUCUAUCCAAGUGCAUGAUGGUAUGCAACCCAAAUGGACCAUGCCGGGUCGGGUCAAGUCUUACCAAUUAUAGUUAUGGACUUAGACAUUAAUCCAACAGUCUCCCACUUGGAUAAGUCUAAAACUAUUAUUGCGUAUGACUUCAGGAACCAACUGGCAAUCGUAGCUCUCAAAAGCUUCUGUCGAACUCUGACCUUGUAGAUGAACUCUGACCUUUGUCAAUGACUUGUCCAUUAGAUAAGGGAUCAUAUAUUCCUCCAUUCUAGAUAUCAUAUGGACUGAGACAUGGAUUAUAAUCAUUCUCUCUGUCCAUUUGUUGUUUCCCGAUUUCCGAUUUAUGACGACUGACUAAUUGAACAAAUCAAAUCAGUCCUGGCCCGGCCGAGCACUUCCAUUUGUCAUCAUCAAAUCAUCGAGGGGCCCACAGAUAUCGCUUUUAUCCCGAAGGUAAAAGGAAUGGAUAAACUUCGACUCAUAUGGCUUGUUCUACUACUUGUUGAAUCAUACACAAAGGCACGUUUUAUAGCACCGAGUUACCAAAUGCGUUUUCGUGCAAUCAAUGUACUAUCAACUCAUAGUAACAACUCAUAUCUCUAGGUUUGAAGAAUAUAAGAUAUUAUCGUCUCAUGAUCACUCGUGAUAAAAUCCAUGAAGUGAUUCCAAUGAGCGCGGGUUGAAUCCAAUACUCAGAACUUAUGAGCACUCAUGAGUGUUGUAGCCCUUUGUCCAACACCUUAGACCUCUACAAGCCAACCCAUGACAGUCUUAAUUCAUAUCUACUUCCAACAUAUGACCGACUGUGGAUGGUUUGAAUAACUUAGUCAUUCCGGAAGAAUAACCCAGUUUAUUCGGGAAGUCAAAACAUGCAAAGUGAAACACAAUAAUAAUUGAAUCCAAUAUGGUAUCAAACCUUUGAACAUAAAUAAAACACCUUUUAUUUAUCACCAUAUGAUUACACAUUAUUCAUUGUAUACUGUUUCAGCUAUCAACUUUAUUCUUGAAUUUAAAACAAUAGUUGUCCCAUGCUCCAAGCAUGUACACUAUGUUUUCUUAAACACUAGUCAUGCCACACACCAAGUAUGCAUACUAUGUUUGUCUAUGAUCUUUACUUUGUGAACUAGAUCAAUUGAACAUAACUUCAAUGAUUCUCUUUUCACACUCCCAAAUCCUUACUGCAAAUGCAAGAAUUCCAAAUUCAUGCCAUUUACUGAAAUCUGUUAGAUUCUAAACUUAUAUGCAUUGAUCCUCUUGUAAUGAUUAUGCACAAAGUCAGAAGGACUUGAAAACAACCAUUACAGACCAUUCCAAAGGAGAUUAGCUCCAUGGGAACAUCCUUCUUGCAUUAAGUUUUCUAAUCUUAAAUAGAUUGAAAAUUCUCACUUUGAAACAUUUCCGGAUUCCAUUUUGACUAUCACUUCUGAACAAGAGUUGCCUCCUUACAGACUAUGUCAAUAUGGUCCUUCCAGAAUUAUCACUAUACUUCCAACUGUCCUUGAGCAACCAAUCUUUGGUAAACCUUAGAUUGUCCUCGACAAUUGUUUAAUCCUUUUAGUCAUAUCCAGUUCUAAACCUUUUCCCUUCUUAAUGCCCCAGGCAUUUGGAAAAUUUUAGAACGGAUGAAUAUAGCACAUGUAAUCGAUCCUAUAUCCGAAGCAUAUGGGACACGAUUCAUGAUGUCUUACAUAAAGACUAAACCAGUCUUUUGCUAUAAUAUUUCCAUUUCAAUUUGCCAAGUUCUCAUAAUUCAGAUUAUGAAAAGGGAUGCCGUAAUCAUAAUCGAAUUUUAGAACGCAAAUAAUGGACCCAUAUACAGAAUUUCCUUAUGUUGAGCCAUUCCAACAUGAAAUUCAUAUAUAUCCUUGACUAAAUGAUUAAAACCUCACGAUCUAAGCUUAUAGAUUUGAGAUGAAGCAUAAUUUCCUCUCCCUUAAUUAUAGCAAAACAACUUUUUCCCAAUUGAAACUUUUGUUUUCUAUAAUUAACAUUGCUAACUUGCAAUACUUAUCAUAAUUAUCAUGCUCCCACUAACAUGAUGAUUAUUAGCAUAACACUUAUGCUCCCACUAGCUUUGACAUGUACUCAGAAAUCAGCUGGACAGUCUGAAAUUUAGAUUCAUACACCCUUUCCGUAGAUAGCUCACCUGUGUGUCUAAGCAAUUUCAAGAACCAUGAAAAGGGAUACCGUAAUCAUGGUCUCAAUUGCUUAGGCAUUUGCCAUUUCUCACAAGUCCAUGUUAGUGUGCCGGUUAACCACACGCGCUCCACUAACGACUUUUGAAAAUGCAAAUAACACAAUUGAUAUCUUCGUAAAAUCUACUUAGUGAAAGCGUUUCCUCACCAUCAUUUUCAUGAAUCGGAGAGAAACCUUAUGACACUUAGAUUUAUAUGGUGUAUGAGUUCCUACCCAUAUGAAUUUGUCAAACCAUAAUCACAAGACAAAGAUAAUGACAAAUCCAAAACCAUAUGGAUUGAACUCAAUCUUAACUUCUUGCCACCUGGCAGCUCAAGGGCCUGCCAUUGCUUCCAAGUUGUUAUGCAACAAACUGAGAACUCUAAGAACUCAUAUGCAAAGCCAACUUUAACUGGAAUGGGCACAGAUAUGUCAACACGAUAGGUUAUAAACCUCAAGUCGUGUGCUAGUGAAGAACUUUAGGUUUUAUUCUUGAUUAUUUCUUGAGACUUUCAAGACCUUUAAGACUCCCACUGUCCUCUUGACAUAUAAGACUCCCUUGUCAAACAUCCAAGAGAUAGUGCGGAUUCUAAUCAAGAAAAACACUUUACCCAAUUGGCCUAAGUUGGUCUUUGUUUUAUCCAAAACAUCACAACUUACCAAUUUCAAAUGUACAAGAGUAGAAAACUUUUACUCUUACAUUUGACAAGUGUUUUAAACCUUCUUUAAGACAUGUCACUCAAAUGACAAUCUUGGAGUAUGACUCUAAGACUUGUAUUGGAACGAAGUAUGACUCAUCUUCUUGAUUUAACCAUUUCAACAAUUCAAGUUCCUCUUCUUAGUCAUAAGAAUGCACUAAGAUUUCCUUAGAGAACUAAUUUUGAUAUGGUUUCUUAAUCAUUAAGAUGAUCACAAAACUGAUACUAAAGUACUCUCCCAUCUUUUCAGAUUUGAGAAACUUUUAUCCUUCUGCCUUAUUUGAUUCUUCUUAUCGAUCUUUAGUGGUGGACUUAAUCAGUGCACAAGAAUGUGUACUCGAUCCCUUAGUCCUUUACUUGACUCACACAUCCAUGUGAACAAGUAAUUAGUCUUAAUUUUCCAAAACUUGAAAGUUCUCAUUCAUCAUGCUAUACAACUUGCAUGAUUCCAAGUUCCGGUCCAAUUGAAACUUGGGUGAUGAGAAUCUUUCCUUAUUUGGUAAAUCUAGACAUUACCACAAAUGAAAGAAUCAAUUUCAUAUUUCCACUCUUGCUCUUAAUGGAAUCAUAUAAGCAACAAUUUUUCCUCAAAAGCCAUUGUAAGGAUAUUUUAAAAUAAAUAAAAUCAAAAAAAUUUUCUUUUAUUUUAAAACUUUGCGGAAAAACUUAUCCUUACAAUCCAUAUGAAAACUUGUUGUUAUCUAUUCCUAAGCAAUAUCUCAUAACUCCUAAGAAGUAGCUCAAGAAUCCGAUCUUCAAACUAUGCGAUAGAAAUCCAUCUACGCCAUCAGAUUCAGCAUAUUCUUUCUUUAAGUUUCUUCACUUUUCUUUGAUUCUUAAAACAUCACCAUGUGACCCAGUCACAUCAUGUAUCAAGAAUCUCAGAAUAGAAACUUAACAGAGUUAGAUAGUGGACUUUACCUGAAGUAGAGUCAAACUUAUUGACUUUAACAUCCUUAGGUAAAUUUGGCAGCUUCGCAACCAAUGCCCCUUCCUUUGGCAAUAUAAACAUAUGGACCCUUUGAUAAUGGUACACGAGACUAUCACAGACUUAGCUUUUCUCUUUACCAUUUGGUCAACCGAGUUGACUAUGGCCGAUCCCUUUCCAUUGGGAAGAGAAUGCUUUACUGGAUAUCCAAUGUCAUCAUUGUCAAUGUCCAUAAAGUUUUAGGAAGUUGAUCUUAGCAAAUAGAUAAGAUCAUUAAGGGUCUUGUCAUAGUCUGUUUCAUAGGUGUCCCAAAGGAACUCACUAUGUGACUUAGAAAGUGGUUGAACCACCAACUUUCUCAAGACUUUGACACCCAACUCUCCCGGCUUGUCAAUAUGUGACUACAUCUCCAAGAUGUGACCACACCUAGACCUUGCCUUGCUAAUAGGGCCUGAGUGACCUUAAACUUUUCAAGAACUUGUGGGUUAGGGAGAAUAAUUUGAAGAGGUGAAGAAGUAUGAUAUCCAUGGGACAUCAUCUUCAUUAGGAAACCUUGUUUCAAGAGAUUUGGGAAGAUCAUAGGUGUCUAAACCAGACAUCUUUUGGGAGAUAUUCAAGAUAGUUGAUUUAAAGUCCUUAAUAUGACACCCAAUAUGAAAUAUUAAGGCUAGGACCCAACAAACUAUUUUAUAACUUAGAAGAGGUAUGCCGUAAUCCAAGCUAUAAAAUAUUUGAAGGUAGGUGAAUGACGAUUCACCAAUUUCCACCAAGAUAAACGAAAUGUAUUAUUAGGUUUUAAUUGGUUUUGAAACUCCUAGAUCUUUGAGAUUCAUUGAACUUUUCAAAGGCAUGUUUCAAUCUCGAGUGUGCCCUUCAGGUUUUGUGACUGGGAUGCCGAGGAUCACAAAACAAGGUGUGAAGUAACCAUGCAAAUCACUUGGUACCCUUAAUAAAUUACCCCUCAAUCGAUGUGCCGGUUAACCACACACGCUCCAUCGAUACUAUGAUAAAUAUUAAGUCACCCUUUACCUACCUUGUUAAGUCCAAGUUAGUGUGCCGGUUAACCACACACGCUCCACUAACGACUUAGACAAAGUGUAAAGUGUAAUUUCAUGGAUUAGCACCUUAUUCACAUUUUUCCUAAGUAACUAAGAUUGGGUAUUAUUAAGAGUUUAGUUACUUAGUAUUAUCAUUAAUACUUUUAAUGAAGGGAGAAUUCUAGUCCUGUCAAACCCGUUCGGCUAACGACCCUCCACCAGUCAAGCAAGCGGUGGGUGAGAGUGGACACCCAUUAAGUUGCCAUUUUAUAGGCAACAACCUUAUACCCACCUUAUAGACCGGCUUCGUGAAUGAGGCGUACUAGCGGUAAGACUGACUUUACUCUUAUACAUAUAUAUAUUAUUAACUUAUAAUAUUAUAAAGUAUAAGGGUUGAAUUUUAACUUUUAAAAUUCUAAGGGCUAACUUGGAAUUAAAGUAUUCAUAAGUGAAAACUUUACAAAUUCCAAAACUUGAGGGCAAGUUUUGAAACUAUUCAAAACUAAUUAAUUCCAUAACUUAUGUGUUUAAAGUAGUUUUAAUCCAAAAACUCUUCAAGUUCCAUAACUUGAGGACAAGUUAUGGAAGACUUUAAACUAAUAAAAGAAUUAACUUUUCUUUAUUUUAUAACUUAUGGAAUUAAUUAAGGUUACACUUUUUUUUAUUUAUUAUUUAAUGAAGAGACUCUUGGUCCUCCAUAACUUGAGGACAAGUUAUGGAGUCAUAAAACCAUUUAAUUAGAACUAGACUCUUCUUUUUGUAACCUUUGCCAACUUUUAUGAGUUUUAUGAAACUUAAAUGUGACUUUUCAUAUAACUUGAGGACAAGUUACAAAAACACAUUUUAGAAUCAACUCUUAGAUUAAUUUGGAUUGAAAACAACUAUUUCACUCAACUUUUCUAUUAAUCUAAGCAACUCAUAAGAACAAGAUAAUUCAAAUCAAACUUUUUCAUGUAAUUAGUCUAAACCUUAAACUAAUACAAAACAUGAAUCUAUUGACAAUUAUCUUUGAAAUUGGAUUAGCAUGAACAUUACCACAUCAAAAACAAGUUUAUAAGUCCAAAAACAUCUUAGGGUAAUGUUCCUAGUCCAAUUCCAGCCAAAAAAGUCGAAUUUAUGAUGUCUGGGGGUCCAACUAGUCGAGUGCACGAACCAACUCGGCGAGUUGGAUGCAUUUUUCCUUUGACUCGGCGAUUCCAUUCAUGGACUCGGCGAGUCUAAUGGGCAGACAGCAUCACAACUCGAUUUUUCAGCUCCUUUUGCAAGUAUAACAAGAAAACAAGCCCAGGCUCUGAUACCACUGUUGGGUUUUGAGCAUUCUAACACUCCUAAGUGUACAUGCAACCCUAAAUACCUUGGAUCUAUGUUUUCUCUAUUAUACAUGCAAAUAAGAACUNAGGUAUUAUCCUAAUCUAGCAUAUAAAAUAAUGGAUAUAACAAGAUAGAAUACAUACCUCUUAGAUGUAGAAUGUCUUCAUGAAGCUUGAGUGCCUAGUGCCCCAAGUGUGACACCUCAAAUGGUUCACACAACACCAAAUACACU